GUCUAUGGCCAUGCUAUCCUGAACGUGUCCGAUCUCAUCUGAUCUCGGAAGCUAAGCAGGGUGGACCUGGUUUAGUACUUGGAUGGGAAACCACCUGGGAAGAUCAGGUGGUGUAGGCG
rnacentral:rRNA from 1 species